GUCAUAAGUUACAAAAACAACAACAGCUAACUAAAGCGGAAAUAAUUGUGUGUACUGCGAAAAUCCAGUGUAUGUAAAUUGAACUUUUCACUGCAAUAAUCCGCAAAUUGUAGUAAAUUUAACAUAAGUAUAUGGUUGAAUUUUACAUACCAUGGGACAGACAAUGUCAUUGGCAUGUUUCUCAUCAUUAUAUCGCAGAAAGCGCUAAUUUCCAAAAUAAAAGCAGAAAGCCCGCAACUAAUUACUCCAAGUACGCAUGCAUGUGUGUUAGGUAUUUGACUCUUUCUUUCGAUGAAUGAGUUCAAAACAACAUUCGUCAUGUUUGGAUGAGUACUUAGACUUUUUUACCAGCCCGAAGAAGACUCAUGUGUGACAGUUAAAAAAAAUAAUAAUAAAAAAGUUAUAAGCGAGAAGUAGACACAGUUACACAGCAACUUGUACAAUUUCUUUCACUUUCUUUCACACAACGUGACGUAUAUCAGUAGUGCCAUCUUUAUUUAUCGCAUAGCAUAAAGCGUGUGUGCUUUAAUUCGAUCAAGUUAACACACAACUAGAAGAGAAAAGUGAAAUGGCGCACAUUUUAAGUGCGACAGGGGCAACAUGAACAACGUCAAGGGUUUUCAAAGUCAACACAGCAGCGAGCUGAGAGCAGCGAGUGUCUCGAUUCACUUUCGUUUUUUAUGAUUGUUACAAAAUAUCAACUCUCCAUAGACGAAUUUCGUUGGACAAUACAUAUUUAGUAUUUAAUUUGCAUAGUUGUCGGCAAAAAACAAAAAAAAAAAAGAUGCGCCCAGAAACUCGUUUUGAUUAUUGUGUGUACGACAAUGACAACAACACACGCGCGACAAAAUGUCUGCAUAUAAAAUAAAUGUAGAUUUUCAAGAGUUGUAUUUCUUGAUUUCACACACAAACAUAUUUAUACACGAUCAUUGUUUUUGUAUUUUCGGCAGCGCGAUCAUCAGCUCUUCAUUAUUUCUAAUUGUGGAGGUCAGACAGGUUGAUGGAGUGAGGAGUGAGGAGAGGGCGAAGCUUAACGUUAUGCUAAUGUCGCACAGCUAAGAAUCUCAAUGCCUAUGAAUGGGCUCUUAAUUGGCUAACGAGUGCAGUGAGGCAAAAAACACCUCACACACGCACACUACUCACACACACACGCACACACGCACACUCGCAUAUGUUGAAUGCAAUAAUAAAACCGAAACUUGAUUUCAAUGCAAAGUGAAAUUUUCCCCACACGUACACACACACACACAUGCAAGUAAAAGCGCUUAAAGACAACUUGCAGCACACACAACAAAUUCGAAAUCCACAAUAAUAACAACAACAACAAUAACAGCAACAGUGCCGCAAGUAAUGACCGAGUAACUGAACUGUGCUCGCCAAAAGACAGACCGAGAGAGAGUGAGCGCGAGAGAGAGAGAAAGAGAGGGGAGGCAGACAGUCUCGGUCACUUUUAUGACGUUCGAUCCCGGUGUAAUGCGAAAUUACGCGUUUUGCAUACAUAAAGCAGCAAAUACCAAAAAAUAACGCAACGCAUCGCAACGUAACGAUAUAGCCGAAAACCGAAUUACAAUUUAGGCCGCGAGCGUCCGAUCAAGCGAGUUAAAGUACGGACGCACUUGCUCCGCUUACAAACACACACACGCGUGUGUGUAUGUGUGUGCUUACACUCAUGCUAUACACACCU